rnacentral:rRNA from 1 species
AGAGUUUGAUCAUGGCUCAGGAUGAACGCUGGCGGCGUGCCUAAUACAUGCAAGUCGAGCGGUAAGGCUUUCACUAAGGUUCGAAGUAGGAACUAGGAUAUAGGAAAUAGGAUAAAGUGCAUAAGACCACUAAGCCCUAAAUCCUAAAUCCUCAACCCUUCCUUGGAGCUUUUGUGAAAGUACACGAGCGGCGGACGGCUGAGUAACGCGUAGGAACGUACCCCAUAGUGAGGGAUAAGCACCGGAAACGGUGUCUAAUACCGCAUAAUCUCUUCGGAGCAAAGCUUUAUGCGCUUUGGGAGCGGCCUGCGUACGAUUAGGUUGUUGGUGAGGUAACGGCUCACCAAGCCGACGAUCGUUAGCUGGUCUGAGAGGAUGAUCAGCCAGACUGGGACUGAGACACGGCCCAGACUCCUACGGGAGGCAGCAGUAGGGAAUUUUCCGCAAUGGGCGAAAGCCUGACGGAGCAACGCCGCGUGCAGGAGGAAGGCCUUCGGGUUGUAAACUGCUUUUAACGGGGACGAUUUUGACGGUACCCGUAGAAUAAGGAUCGGCUAAUUCCGUGCCAGCAGCCGCGGUCAUACGGAAGAUCCGAGCGUUAUCCGGAAUUACUGGGCGUAAAGAGUUGCGUAGGUGGCAUGUAAAGCGAGCAGUGAAAGACUCCGGCUCAACCGGAGGUACAUUGUUCGAACUCACAAGCUUGAGCAUGAGAGAGGUAGAUGGAAUUUCUAGUGUAGGAGUGAAAUCCGUAGAUAUUAGAAGGAACACCGAUGGCGUAGGCAGUCUACUGGCUCAUUGCUGACACUAAGGCACGAAAGCGUGGGGAGCGAACGGGAUUAGAUACCCUAGUAGUCC